rnacentral:lncRNA from 1 species
UGCAACCGUAUUGCUUCCAAGAAGUUUUGUGUUUCUCCUUCAGUUCCUCUGUUUUAGUCUUUGCCUUCGCUAAAAGAGGAACUCUCAACUCGUGAUACGAAGGAGGCUUCAAACCCGGCCUAUAUUGCCCGAUAACCUCUAUCAUCACCUCAAAACUUCUUGAAUUUGCUGCAUUAAAAGAGAUGUCAUUCUAAUAAAACCAGUUGGCAAUGUACAUGUGAACUUUGUCUUUCUCUUCCGGUG